CUGUCCGAGUUGUAAUCUGGAGAAGCGUUUUCUGUGUUAGACCGUGUACAAGUCUCCUGGAACGGAGCGUCAUAGAGGGUGAGAAUCCCGUCCAUGACACGGACUGCUAAUACUUUGUGAUACGCUCUCGAAGAGUCGAGUUGUUUGGGAAUGCAGCUCAAAAUGGGUGGUAAAUUCCAUCUAAAGCUAAAUACAGGCGAGAGACCGAUAGCGAACAAGUACCGUGAGGGAAAGAUGAAAAGCACUUUGGAAAGAGAGUUAAACAGUACGUGAAAUUGUUGAAAGGGAAACGCUUGAAGUCAGUCGCGUUGUGCAGAACUCAGCCUUGCCUCGGUUUGGUGUACUUUCUGCACAACGGGUCAACAUCAAUUUUGGCCCAUGGAGAAAGGUGGAGGGAAUGUAGCGCUGUUUCGGCAGCGUGUUAUAGCCCUCUACUGUAUACAUGGGCUGGGAUUGAGGAACGCAGCACGCCCUUGUGGCCGGGGGUUCGCCCCACGUACCGUGCUUAGGAUGUUGGCAGAAUGGCUUUAAGCGACCCGUCUUGAAACACGGACCAAGGAGUCUAACAUGCUUGCGAGUGUUCGGGUGGAAAACCCUUGUGCGUAAUGAAAGUGAAAGUUGGGAACCUCCGCAAGGGGGUGCACCGACGCCCGGCCCUGACGUUCUCUGACGGUGCUGCGGUAGAGCAAGUAUGCUGGGACCCGAAAGAUGGUGAACUAUGCCUGAAUAGGGCGAAGCCAGAGGAAACUCUGGUGGAGGCUCGUAGCGAUUCUGACGUGCAAAUCGAUCGUCAAA
rnacentral:rRNA from 1 species